UACGUAGGUGGCAAGCAUUAUCCGGAAUUAUUGGGCGUAAAGAGCGCGCAGGUGGUUGAUUAAGUCUGAUGUGAAAGCCCACGGCUUAACCGUGGAGGGUCAUUGGAAACUGGUCGACUUGAGUGCAGAAGAGGGAAGUGGAAUUCCAUGUGUAGCGGUGAAAUGCGUAGAGAUAUGGAGGAACACCAGUGGCGAAGGCGGCUUCCUGGUCUGUAACUGACACUGAGGCGCGAAAGCGUGGGGAGCAAACAGGAUUAGA
rnacentral:rRNA from 1 species